rnacentral:rRNA from 1 species
CCUACGGGCGGCAGCAGUAGGGAAUUUUUCACAAUGGGCGAAAGCCUGAUGGAGCAACGCCGCGUGCAGGAUGAAGGCCUUCGGGUUGUAAACUGCUUUUAUAAGCGAGAAAUAUGAUGGUAACUUAUGAAUAAGGAUCGGCUAACUACGUGCCAGCAGCCGCGGUCAUACGUAGGAUCCGAGCAUUAUCCGGAGUGACUGGGUGUAAAGAGUUGCGUAGGUGGCAUAAUAAGUAGCUAGUGAAAUCUGGUGGCUCAACCAUUCAGACUAUUAGCUAAACUGUUAAGCUCGAGACCGUUAGGGGUAACUGGAAUUUCUAGUGUAGGAGUGAAAUCCGUAGAUAUUAGAAGGAACACCAAUAGCGUAGGCAGGUUGCUGGGACGGUUCUGACACUAAGGCACGAAAGCGUAGGGAGCAAACGGGAUUAGAUACCCCUGUAGUC